CACGUAGGGGGCAAGCGUUGUCCGGAUUUAUUGGGCGUAAAGAGCUCGUAGGCGGCUUGUCGCGUCGUCCGUGAAAACUUGGGGCUCAACCCCAAGCUUGCGGUCGAUACGGGCAGGCUAGAGUUCGGUAGGGGAGACUGGAAUUCCUGGUGUAGCGGUGAAAUGCGCAGAUAUCAGGAGGAACACCGGUGGCGAAGGCGGGUCUCUGGGCCGAUACUGACGCUGAGGAGCGAAAGCGUGGGGAGCGAACAGG
rnacentral:rRNA from 1 species